rfam:Legionella lansingensis strain ATCC 49751 Llan_ctg055, whole genome shotgun sequence.
GCUGGCGUAGCUCAGUAGGUAGAGCAACUGACUUGUAAUCAGUAGGUCCCGGGUUCGAUUCCUGGUGCCAGCA